rnacentral:rRNA from 1 species
AUGAAAGGUCUAACUUGGGAUUUGCAUCUCCGGAGUCAAGCUUCGAUUCAACACCCUCGGCCUCGAACAAAUGGUUGGCAUCACAGGCGUUUUAGGUGCCAAGGCAGUGCUUGGGAGGAGAGCGGGCGGGUUGGCUGGCAUGGCAGGGUUUUCCGAGAGUUGGGUCAGCAGGAAGAUCAAGGAAGAGAUCUGCAAUGGUGGCUCAAGGAAGGUUGGCUGGCAAAAGGGAACAUGUUUUCAUCAAAGAUUACGUGCCGUGAGAUGUGUGCGCGUUGGGGUGGAGAGAUCAAAGACAACAAUAGCUUUGUGAUCGCUAGGAUAGCCUAA